GGUUAAGCGACUAAGCGUACACGGUGGAUGCCCUGGCAGUCAGAGGCGAUGAAGGACGUGCUAAUCUGCGAAAAGCGUCGGUAAGGUGAUAUGAACCGUUAUAGCCGGCGAUGUCCGAAUGGGGAAACCCAGUGCAAUUCGUUGCACUAUCGUUAACUGAAUACAUAGGUUAACGAGGCGAACCGGGGGAACUGAAACAUCUAAGUACCCCGAGGAAAAGAAAUCAACCGAGAUUCCCCCAGUAGCGGCGAGCGAACGGGGAGCAGCCCAGAGUCUGAAUCAGCUUGUGUGUUAGUGGAACGGUCUGGAAAGUCCGACGGUACAGGGUGAUAGUCCCGUACACCAAAAUGCACAGGCUGUGAACUCGAAGAGUAGGGCGGGACACGUGGUAUCCUGUCUGAAUAUGGGGGGACCAUCCUCCAAGGCUAAAUACUCCUGACUGACCGAUAGUGAACCAGUACCGUGAGGGAAAGGCGAAAAGAACCCCGGCGAGGGGAGUGAAAAAGAACCUGAAACCGUGUACGUACAAGCAGUGGGAGCACCUUCGGGUGUGACUGCGUACCUUUUGUAUAAUGGGUCAGCGACUUAUAUUCUGUAGCAAGGUUAACCGUAUAGGGGAGCCGCAGGGAAACCGAGUCUUAACUGGGCGUUAAGUUGCAGGGUAUAGACCCGAAACCCGGUGAUCUAGCCAUGGGCAGGUUGAAGGUUGGGUAACACUAACUGGAGGACCGAACCGACUAAUGUUGAAAAAUUAGCGGAUGACUUGUGGCUGGGGGUGAAAGGCCAAUCAAACCGGGAGAUAGCUGGUUCUCCCCGAAAGCUAUUUAGGUAGCGCCUCGUGAACUCAUCUUCGGGGGUAGAGCACUGUUUCGGCUAGGGGGUCAUCCCGACUUACCAACCCGAUGCAAACUACGAAUACCGAAGAAUGUUAUCACGGGAGACACACGGCGGGUGCUAACGUCCGUCGUGAAGAGGGAAACAACCCAGACCGCCAGCUAAGGUCCCAAAGUCAUGGUUAAGUGGGAAACGAUGUGGGAAGGCACAGACAGCCAGGAUGUUGGCUUAGAAGCAGCCAUCAUUUAAAGAAAGCGUAAUAGCUCACUGGUCGAGUCGGCCUGCGCGGAAGAUGUAACGGGGCUAAACCAUGCACCGAAGCUGCGGCAGCGACACUAUGUGUUGUUGGGUAGGGGAGCGUUCUGUAAGCCUGCGAAGGUGUGCUGUGAGGCAUGCUGGAGGUAUCAGAAGUGCGAAUGCUGACAUAAGUAACGAUAAAGCGGGUGAAAAGCCCGCUCGCCGGAAGACCAAGGGUUCCUGUCCAACGUUAAUCGGGGCAGGGUGAGUCGACCCCUAAGGCGAGGCCGAAAGGCGUAGUCGAUGGGAAACAGGUUAAUAUUCCUGUACUUGGUGUUACUGCGAAGGGGGGACGGAGAAGGCUAUGUUAGCCGGGCGACGGUUGUCCCGGUUUAAGCAUGUAGGCUGGUUGUCCAGGCAAAUCCGGAUAAUCAAGGCUGAGGUGUGAUGACGAGGCACUACGGUGCUGAAGUAACAAAUGCCCUGCUUCCAGGAAAAGCCUCUAAGCAUCAGGUAACAUUAAAUCGUACCCCAAACCGACACAGGUGGUCAGGUAGAGAAUACCAAGGCGCUUGAGAGAACUCGGGUGAAGGAACUAGGCAAAAUGGUGCCGUAACUUCGGGAGAAGGCACGCUGGUGUGUAGGUGAAGCCCCUGCGGGUGGAGCUGAGACCAGUCGAAGAUACCAGCUGGCUGCAACUGUUUAUUAAAAACACAGCACUGUGCAAACACGAAAGUGGACGUAUACGGUGUGACGCCUGCCCGGUGCCGGAAGGUUAAUUGAUGGGGUUAUCCGUAAGGAGAAGCUCUUGAUCGAAGCCCCGGUAAACGGCGGCCGUAACUAUAACGGUCCUAAGGUAGCGAAAUUCCUUGUCGGGUAAGUUCCGACCUGCACGAAUGGCGUAAUGAUGGCCAGGCUGUCUCCACCCGAGACUCAGUGAAAUUGAACUCGCUGUGAAGAUGCAGUGUACCCGCGGCAAGACGGAAAGACCCCGUGAACCUUUACUAUAGCUUGACACUGAACAUUGAGCCUUGAUGUGUAGGAUAGGUGGGAGGCUUUGAAGCGUGGACGCCAGUCUGCGUGGAGCCAACCUUGAAAUACCACCCUUUAAUGUUUGAUGUUCUAACGUUGGCCCCUUACCGGGGUUGCGGACAGUGUCUGGUGGGUAGUUUGACUGGGGCGGUCUCCUCCCAAAGCGUAACGGAGGAGCACGAAGGUUAGCUAAUCCUGGUCGGACAUCAGGAGGUUAGUGCAAUGGCAUAAGCUAGCUUGACUGCGAGCGUGACGGCGCGAGCAGGUGCGAAAGCAGGUCAUAGUGAUCCGGUGGUUCUGAAUGGAAGGGCCAUCGCUCAACGGAUAAAAGGUACUCCGGGGAUAACAGGCUGAUACCGCCCAAGAGUUCAUAUCGACGGCGGUGUUUGGCACCUCGAUGUCGGCUCAUCACAUCCUGGGGCUGAAGUAGGUCCCAAGGGUAUGGCUGUUCGCCAUUUAAAGUGGUACGCGAGCUGGGUUUAGAACGUCGUGAGACAGUUCGGUCCCUAUCUGCCGUGGGCGCUGGAGAAUUGAGGGGGCUGCUCCUAGUACGAGAGGACCGGAGUGGACGCAUCACUGGUGUUCGGGUUGUCAUGCCAAUGGCACUGCCCGGUAGCUAAAUGCGGAAGAGAUAAGUGCUGAAAGCAUCUAAGCACGAAACUUGCCCCGAGAUGAGUUCUCCCUGAGACUUUAAGUCUCCUGAAGGAACGUUGAAGACGACGACGUUGAUAGGCCGGGUGUGUAAGCGCAGCGAUGCGUUGAGCUAACCGGUACUAAUGAACCGUGAGGCUUAACCUU
rnacentral:rRNA from 1 species